GAUGAACGCUGGCGGCGUGCUUAACACAUGCAAGUCGAACGAUGAAGCCGGAGCUUGCUCUGGUGAAUUAGUGGCGAACGGGUGAGUAACACGUGAGUAACCUGCCCUUGACUCUGGGAUAACUGCGGGAAACUGUAGCUAAUACCGGAUACGACCCUCGGAGGCAUCUCCCGGGGGUGGAAAGAAUUUCGGUCAAGGAUGGACUCGCGGCCUAUCAGCUAGUUGGUGAGGUAAAGGAUCACCAAGGCGACGACGGGUAGCCGGCCUGAGGGGGUGACCGGCCACACUGGGACUGAGACACGGCCCAGACUCCUACGGGAGGCAGCAGUGGGGAAUAUCGCACAAUGGGCGCAAGCCUGAUGCAGCAACGCCGCGUGAGGGAUGACGGCCUUCGGGUUGUAAACCUCUUUUAGCAGGGAAGAAGCGAAAGUGACGGUACCUGCAGAAAAAGCACCGGCUAACUACGUGCCAGCAGCCGCAGUAA
rnacentral:rRNA from 1 species